rnacentral:pre_miRNA from 10 species
AUUCAUCCAUGGGUGGGGAUUUGUUGCAUUACUUAUGUACAUGUAUAAAGUAUUGCACUUGUCCCGGCCUGUGGAAGAAAC